GUCCAUAGAGUGGUAAAGGCGGUCCCAGAAAUGCAGGAUGCGAAGAAAAGGCAUUGGUCUGAUUAGAUCUUCCCAGUGACAGAGAUCAGAGUGAAGUUCAGGCCUUGGAAAACAUAGAAAUACCAACAUCAGAUCAGCAUGAAUUUUAUGAGCGCAGUGUCAGCCACGUGGUAAACAGUCUGGUGUCCUUGUAAGAACAAGAAGCUGUGACGAAGAUGGUGGAUGAGAACACAGAGAGGGCUGUCCUUUACAAGCCAAGGAAAGAGACCUCGGAGGAAACCACCCCUGCCAGCACCUUGAUCUUGGACAUCUAGCCUCCAACACCUCGAGACAGUACACUUCUGUUACUUGAGCCACCCCAUCUAUGAUUGAUAAAGGAGCAGUUUUAUUUCGGUGAAAAAACGCUUUAAGUGACCACAGCUUUCUGAUGAGGUAAUUUUGUUGGGCGUGCAGAACCUCAGCUGGAAAAGCCGUGGUUGGUGGCGUCCUUGUACCGCCGUUCGCCCUACAGUUGGUUGUCAUUUAAUUCACAGAACUUCCUAAUAAUCAAUAAUGACAGACCGGAAUCAAAACAGAUUCCUGCCUCCCAUGUGUUUGAUGGAUUUGGACUGAGAUCAGGAAGCUGCUUCUUCCUUAGGAAUCCCAUGUGGGUUCGUGGGUUCUUUUUCUUAAAGCCAGAGUUCAACUUUCUGGUUUGGUCAUCGAGCCAUAUGUCACCCAUGGGCAUCUGUUCUCCUUUGAGGUAAGUAGUCUACAGGCUGAUGUUUUCGGCAGAAAAGCACAUUCUGGGUUAUAGGUCUGGGAUCGGUAGGAAGUCUAUCUGGGUUCUAGUUUGGGGAGCACCCCUCUCCUGUGUGACUCAAUCUACCUUCACAGCUGAAGUGCGGGCUGUUUGGAGAGAAGUCAUGGGUACAUUUCUGGUUCCCUCUGGGACUUCGUGACCUUUGACAAACCACAGGAACUCUUUGUGCCUUGGAGACGCGUUUCCCCCCGUGACUUCUCUCUGACAGGUGCUGUCAGAAUUAGAAAGCCCUGGAAGAUCCUCCAAACCUAGACUUAUAAUUACGAUUAAUAAUAGUAAUUAACUUUCAUCACAGGUGAGUCAUCUAUACCUUAGAAAUUCAGUAACGAUUUGUUUCAAAGGUACCCCUGAACAUUUCCUUACUCAGCCUCACUCCUCGGAGAAGGUACGUUACCUCCUAUUUUUUAUCCUUUUUAAAUUUUUUCCAGCUUUAUCAAAGUGUAAUUGGCCAACAAAAAUUAUGUAUGGUUGAGGCAGAUAACGUGAUGUUUCGCUCUGUGUAUAUACAUUGUGAGAUGGUCACUAUAAUCAAGCUAGUUACUACAGUCAUCAACUCACCGAGUUACCAUUUCUGUGGGGGUGUGUGUGUGUGUGUGUGUGAACAGGUAAGCUCUCUUAGCAAAGUUCAAGUAUUCAGAAUUGUUUGAACUAUAGUCACCGUGCUAUACAUUAGGUCUCUAGAACUUACCGAUCCUGCAUAACUAACAACUUUUUUAAUGUACCUUUUGUCCACAAUCUCCCCAUUUCUCCCACUCUCUAGCCCCUGACCGUCUCUAUCCUAGGGUACAUUUUAAAGAAAACGUUCUCAGUUUUUAAAGAGAACAGAAGGAAUUUUUCCUAUCUUAUAUUCAAUGCGUUUGAAUGGCUGAUAUUGGCAAAAUGAUUUUGUUCUUCAAAAGGGGGCUGACUGUUUUCUCAAAUAAGCUGCAAUUCUUGUAUCUGUGAUCAUGUUGCUCCUGAUAUUUUUGCUUUUAAAUUCUUUCGGUAUUCAACCGGGCAGUUUAUCUCUGUGACAUGCUUCCUUCUUCCCCUGUUCAAAAACAAAAGGAUGGGAAGUUCCAACAUUUGUACUUUUUCUUUGAAGGGAUUGCCCUAAGCUGGUAAAUGCUCUUGCAUCAGCUACAACUUCGAAUUGUUUCAUUUCCUCCUGAUAAAGUUUUAGGUCUGUCUCAUGAAUAAGAUAUGUAACCGUCAAUAACCAUCUUUUCAGCCAAUAGGGUCAAAGUGAGUUGGUGAAACACACCAAGCUGUUCUCCAGGUCUUCCCCCCCCCACCCCACCCCCGCAACAUGUUGCCCAAUUAUUUCACAUUCUUAUAGUGUAAAAUAAACACAUCAAGUCUGUUGAGAUACUGCUGUGGUUAUUUACUUUUCAAAUUUAAUAAGAAGGAGGGGGAUGACUUUUCCUCCCAGGACAGGAAAAGAAAAUCAGACCUGACAGUGUUACAUUAUCAAUUUUUACAAGUACAAAAAUAUCCCAUAAAACAAGCAGUUCUUUGGACACUCAGAUGACUGUCCAAGCUGGCCAGGGAGGUUAUAAAACCCAAAUCCUUUUCAGUUAAUUUUCCAUUUACUUGCAGGAUUUCAUUCACUCUGGCAAGUUUGAUAGCCAUGCAUAACUAUGUCAGCUUUCUUCCUCAUUAAAUUCCACCGCAUUUCCCAGGCCCAAAGGUGCAUAUGCUUGUCUUCUUGAUGCAGGUUU